rnacentral:rRNA from 1 species
UACAGAGGGCGCGAGCGUUGUCCGGAAUCACUGGGCGUAAAGGGCGCGUAGGUGGCGGCAUAAGGCCGCGGUGAAAGUCUGGGGCUCAACCCCAGAUCGGCCGCGGCGACUGUGUCGCUCGAGCACGGUAGAGGCAGAUGGAAUUCCUGGUGUAGCGGUGAAAUGCGUAGAUAUCAGGAGGAACACCGGUGGCGAAAGCGCUCAUCUGGCCCGAUACUGACGCUGAUGCGCGAAAGCUAGGGGAGCGAACGGG